rnacentral:rRNA from 1 species
AUUGAACGCUGGCGGCAGGCCUAACACAUGCCAGUCGAGCGGAUGAAGGGAGCUUGCUCCUGGAUUCAGCGGCGGACGGGUGAGUAAUGCCUAGGAAUCUGCCUGGUAGUGGGGGAUAACGUCCGGAAACGGGCGCUAAUACCGCAUACGUCCUGAGGGAGAAAGUGGGGGAUCUUCGGACCUCACGCUAUCAGAUGAGCCUAUGUCGGAUUAGCUAGUUGGUGGGGUAAAGGCCUACCAAGGCGACGAUCCGUAACUGGUCUGAGAGGAUGAUCAGUCACACUGGAACUGAGACACGGUCCAGACUCCUACGGGAGGCAGCAGUGGGGAAUAUUCGACAAUGGGCGAAAGCCUGAUCCAGCCAUGCCGCGUGUGUGAAGAAGGUCUUCGGAUUGUAAAGCACUUCAAGUUGGGAGGAAGGGCAGUAAGUUAAUACCUUGCUGUUUUGACGGUACCAACAGAAUAAGCACCGGCUAACUUCGUG